UCACUCCAAAGAGGAGGAUUAUACUUUAGUCUAGGGUAUACCAGUAGUUGUGCUCUCUUGCUAGAACCUCCAAACAAGCUCUUAAGGAGAUAGCACCCUCAAC
rnacentral:sRNA from 1 species